GUGCUCACUUCGGCAGCACGUGUACUAAAACGGAAGCAAUACAGAGGAGAUUAGCAUAGCCCUGUGCAGGAAUGGCACACAAACUUGUGAAGCAUUCCAUAUUUUU